rnacentral:rRNA from 1 species
UACGAAGGGGGCGAGCGUUGUUCGGAUUUACUGGGCGUAAAGGGCGCGCAGGCGGCGCAUUUUGUCAGGCGUGAAAGCCCCGGGCUUAACCUGGGAACUGCGUUUGAUACGGAUGGGCUAGAGUUCGGGAGAGGAGAGUGGAAUUCCCAGUGUAGAGGUGAAAUUCGUAGAUAUUGGGAAGAACACCGGUGGCGAAGGCGGCUCUCUGGACCGAGACUGACGCUGAGGCGUGAAAGCGUGGGGAGCAAACAGG